rnacentral:rRNA from 1 species
UACGUAGGGGGCUAGCGUUGUCCGGAUUUAUUGGGCGUAAAGAGCGUGUAGGCGGCCAGGUAGGUCCGCUGUGAAAGUCCGAAGGCCGUCAACCUCCGGAAUGUCGGCGGAAACCCUCUGGCUAGAGUCCGGAAGAGGAGAGUGGAAUUCCGAGUCGUAGAGGUGAAAUGCGCAGAUAUCAGGAGGAACACCGGUGGCGAAGGCGGAUCUCUGGGCCAUUACUGACGCUGAGGAGCGAAAGCAUGGGGAGCGAACAGG